GGCGCUAUGGGAUUGGUUUAACCAAAAACAGAAAUGAAGACCGAAAUCUAGGUGUGUUGAAUUUCGGUCAGCGUAAUGCAGGCGAAAUGUCGGUCCAUUCGGCGAUGUCCGCCAGUGGAUGCUGGGAGCCCGCCGCGAGCGGACGCGUGCCUGACGAUACAGAGAGUUCGGAACUCGUGUGUGAAGUGUGGUGGAAACUAACUUACGAUAAAUUAUUACAAAAGUUUUUUGCAAGCAUUUCAAUUUUGCAUUUUUCCUGAAGAAAUUUUAAACGCUGAGAAGUUGCGCUGAAUUUACAGAAGUCCGCCACAAGUAAAAGCUGAGAAAUCGGGGCGAGUAUUGAUCUGAAUCAAAUAGGAACGAUGUUGAGUUGACAGUCAGUGGUCAGUCAUGUGGUAGUGGCUGUGUGGAGUGGUGCGGGUGUGUGUGAUGUGCUUGCUGCGGCUGCGGUAACAUGGGGCUCGAGUAGGAUGUGAGCCAUGUCGCCAUGCGUGCGCGGCGCCAGCCCCGGCUCGCGGCGCGCGCUGCUACUGCUCGCCGUGCUGCACUGUGCCAGGUAAACACCCAUAUCUUAUACAUGGAUCUUGAGCGCUGACCUUCACCUGCGCAGAAGUGAUUUUUAGGGUCCCUUUUGCGGUAUGAAGUGAUGCGUGGGGGGGAUUAAUGGCAGUGAUAGGCCCGUAGCGCAUCGAGUCAUAGCCGUCAUGAGUGAUUCGUUAAAAUUCGUUCUUUGCUGCAGUUGCAUGCACCUUAAUUCAUUUUGUUUUUCUUUUGACAUGUAAUUGUAAAUUUUAAAGAUUGUACACCACAUGGGUAUGUUACAGUGAUACUUUGUUAUAACACUAAUUUUAAGAGCUGAAUUUCCACCUGUGACAAACAAUAAAUAAAUCUUGAAUCUUGAA